rnacentral:lncRNA from 1 species
AUCUGUAGUGUUAGAUGGAAACUGAGUAAGGACUAGAGGGGUUGGGGGUGAUUCACCAACUCUUUACCCCUCAACAGAGCAGAAGGACAGCUUCCAGAGUGUGCUUCCAGAGGGCCCUGGGCGUGUUGAGUCCUAAGAGGAAGGAACCCCCAUCAUCAUGGUACAUGCUAGGUGUUUUUACUUUUUUCAGCAUUCCACAAGUUACUUCCUCCUUCCUUUGUUCUCCUCUGCCUUUUCCUCUUUAAAAAAGUUCUAAGUUGCUAGCCAAUCGGGAAGCCUGCCCAGCCCCAGAGGCUCCCCUGAGCUCCCUUCCCCCAUUAGAGCCUACAGAGGCAGUGCUGCCCAGCAGACAUCUCGGCUGGGAGUCAAACAGAGCAAGGCUAUUUUGGUCCCUCUCUCCACUCUAUGUGACCCUGAAAUGUGCCCUGGCCUUAGGAAACAUUCAGCUACAUCAGAGAACGUGAGUAUGCAUGUGGUUUGUAUAACACAGGCAAGACAUGGUUUUUAGAUACGUUCAGAAUAGAUAGUUACAGAGAACAGGUAUGUUACAUGUGGGAAGGAAGAGACACAAGGGCCAAGAGAUACUUAAUAUGCAUGAGGCUCCUGGGCACUAAAUGUUCAAUUCACAAUGUGCCUUUAUACAAGAGACACCUAAACAUGCAGAACCAUGGGGCCUUUG